rnacentral:sRNA from 1 species
AAUUAGCCCUGAUUGAAGUGAAAGCCCGCAUCCCGAUUUUUCAUCGGGAGAGGACUUGUAACGGAAAGCAGGGCUACAG